UCCCUGAUAGCUCAGUUGGUAGAGAAUCCUUCUACAAUAUGGGAGACCUAGGUUUGAUCCCUGGGUUGGGAA
rnacentral:tRNA from 1 species